AAAAAGUUGUCAAAAGAAAGGGGGAGAUCUUGCUGUUCCAAAAAAUAAAGCUGAAAAUGACGCUAUUUUUCAUGAAGUCCGGCAAAAACAAAUCAAAACCCCUUUUAUUGGUUUGUUGCGCAAUAAAAACGACAAUAAAUUUUAUACAGUCCAUAAUUUCAAACCUACUUUCACAAAUUGGGGUCCUAAAGAACCAAAUAACCGUCGUGGUAACGAGGAUUGUGUUCGAUUUUAUCCUAUUCAACCCAAGUGGAAUGACAUUUCAUGCACAAGCCGUAACAAUUAUAUUUGUCAAAAAUUCAGAGGAUGCCCACGUGGCUGGAUGGAUAUAUGGUCAUCUUGCUAUUUCUUCAGUAGAAC